rnacentral:lncRNA from 1 species
GGGAGGAACACCUUGAGAGGAGUUGAGAUCCUGCUUUCUCUUCAGAAUGCCAUCUCUAGGAUGCCAAUGGGCUGUGUCUACAGUACUAUGUAGGAAAGUGCUGCAAGAGAGAGCCCAUUUUGCCUAAACAAGAACCACGAUUAUGUAAAGAAAUCAUAAACACCUCUAAAACACAUGUAUACUGGUGGUGUUAGUCAACUUAUAUCACUGUCUGUGAAGACGAUGCAGCAAAUUCAAUGAAAGUUGUAUACAUCAUGGAAAAGUUUGAAUUGCAUGAAGAAAAGAAGCUGACGGAAGUUCUUUCUGUCACCUCUCUGAAGACCUGGUUCAUAUCUGCAGCUGCAACUCUAUCCCUGAACUCAUCUUUGAAACUACCCAGAGAUAGACUGUCAAGAGCUUCAGAGCUUUACAACAGGAUCUUCCAAGUGCCCUGAGAGGUCAUGAUGGAGCCAAUAGAAAUAAAUCAUACAAAACAAAGCCAGAACCUGGUGGGAGGGAUGCUUACAAAACAACAUAAACGAGAAGUUGUCUGAAAAAAAAUUGUAUGGAAGGAAGAAGAGAUGAGAUAAGGGAAAUGAACUCAUAAUAGCCCCAGUUAAAAUACUUACAGUAAAAUAUCAUUAGUACUACUUGAUGUUGGUGAAAGGCUCUAGACUCAAGUCAGAAGGCCCAAUUUGUUGCUGUGAUUUCUUGAACAAAUUAUGUAAUUGUGUUGAGAUUCAGUUUUCUUUUCUAUCAUUGGGUAUUAAUAACUUCUAUGUGAUGUCAGAGUUAUGAUGUGAAGUUAAAAUAACUAAUAAAUGGGUAAACCCUGAAAA